UACAGAGGUGGCAAGCGUUGUCCGGAAUUAUUGGGCGUAAAGAGCUCGUAGGCGGCUUGUCACGUCGGGUGUGAAAGCCCGGGGCUUAACCCCGGGUCUGCAUUCGAUACGGGCUAGCUAGAGUGUGGUAGGGGAGAUCGGAAUUCCUGGUGUAGCGGUGAAAUGCGCAGAUAUCAGGAGGAACACCGGUGGCGAAGGCGGAUCUCUGGGCCAUUACUGACGCUGAGGAGCGAAAGCGUGGGGAGCGAACAGG
rnacentral:rRNA from 1 species